GCGCGAGUGGCGGAAUUGGCAGACGCGCGGGAUUUAGGUUCCCGUGUCCUAGGACGUGGGGGUUCAAGUCCCCCCUCGCGCA
rnacentral:tRNA from 1 species